AGUCCAUACCGUAAACGAUGAAUGCUAAGUGUUGGAGGGUUUCCGCCCUUCAGUGCUGCAGCUAACGCAUUAAGCAUUCCGCCUGGGGAGUACGGCCGCAAGGCUGAAACUCAAAGGAAUUGACGGGGGCCCGCACAAGCGGUGGAGCAUGUGGUUUAAUUCGAAGCUACGCGAAGAACCUUACCAGGUCUUGACAUACUAUGCAAAUCUAAGAGAUUAGACGUUCCCUUCGGGGACAUGGAUACAGGUGGUGCAUGGUUGUCGUCAGCUCGUGUCGUGAGAUGUUGGGUUAAGUCCCGCAACGAGCGCAACCCUUAUUAUCAGUUGCCAGCAUUAAGUUGGGCACUCUGGUGAGACUGCCGGUGACNAACCGGAGGAAGGUGGGGAUGACGUCAAAUCAUCAUGCCCCUUAUGACCUGGGCUACACACGUGCUACAAUGGAUGGUACAACGAGUUG
rnacentral:rRNA from 2 species